CAGUCGUUCUUCAUAUGGUAUCUUAUUAGAUCGACCUUCAAGUACUGCAGAGGGGAGAAUAUUCAACCUAAUCAGGACAGGGAAGGGGGAGAAUCAUCCUGUACACCUAAAGAGAUUUGUCAAAGAACCAGCAAUUAAGAAACCCUAGGUGAGUCAUAGCUUUCUCUUUUAUUCACGGAGCU